AACGUAGGAGACAAACGUUAUCCGGAGUUACUGGGCGUAAAGGGCGUGUAGGCGGUUUGUUAAGUCUGGCGUGAAAGCUCUCGGCUAAACCGGGAGAGGUCGUUGGAUACUGGCAGACUAGAGGACGGUAGAGGCGUGUGGAAUUCCGGGUGUAGUGGUGAAAUGCGUAGAGAUCGGGAAGAACAUCAGUGGCGAAGGCGGUCUGCUGGGCCGUUGCUGACGCUGAGGCGCGACAGCGUGGGGAGCAAACAGG
rnacentral:rRNA from 1 species